GACGAACGCUGGCGGCGUGCUUAAUACAUGCAAGUCAACUUGACUUUAGAUAGCAAUAUCGAAAAGUAGGGUGGCGCACGGGUGCGUAACGCGUAGGUAAUCUGCCCUGAGGUCUGACAUAACCCGUCGAAAGGCGGCUAACAUCAGAUGAUAUAUAAUCACGACAUCGUGGAAAUAUCAAAUCUUCGGAGCCUUGGGAUGAGCCUGCGUCUGAUUAGGUAGUUGGCGGAGUAAUAGCCCACCAAGCCUACGAUCAGUAGCUGGUCUGAGAGGAUGAUCAGCCACACUGGAACUGAGACACGGUCCAGACUCCUACGGGAGGCAGCAGUAAGGAAUAUUGCUCAAUGGGGGAAACCCUGAAGCAGCAACGCCGCGUGAAGGAUGAAAUACUUUUGUAUGUAAACUUCUGUAAGAUGGGAAAAAUAUUCUCCUCGGGAGAAUUGAUUGUACCAUCAGAGUAAAGCCCCGGCUAACUACGUGCCAGCAG
rnacentral:rRNA from 1 species